UACGAAGGGUGCAAACGUUGCUCGGAAUUAUUGGGCGUAAAGCGCACGUAGGCGGCUCUGCAAGUCCCAUGUGAAAGCCCACGGCUUAACCGUGGAAGUGCAUGGGAAACUGCAGUGCUUGAGUACUUAAGAGGAUCGCGGAAUUCCCGGUGUAGAGGUGAAAUUCGUAGAUAUCGGGAGGAACACCAGUGGCGAAGGCGGCGAUCUGGGAAGAUACUGACGCUGAGGUGCGAAAGCGUGGGGAGCAAACAGG
rnacentral:rRNA from 1 species